rnacentral:rRNA from 1 species
GACGAACGCUGGCGGCGCGCUUCACACAUGCAAGUCGAACGAGAAGCCCGGGCUUGCCCGGGUGGACAGUGGCGAACGGGUGAGUAACACGUGAGCAACCUGCCCCGAAGACCGGGAUAACACCGGGAAACCGGUGCUAAUACCGGAUGUCCUCGCCGGACCGCAUGAUCCGGCGAGGAAAUGGUCAGCCGCUUCGGGAUGGGCUCGCGGCCUAUCAGCUUGUUGGUGGGGUCACGGCCCACCAAGGCGACGACGGGUAGCUGGUCUGAGAGGAUGUCCAGCCACACUGGGACUGAGACACGGCCCAGACUCCUACGGGAGGCAGCAGUGGGGAAUCUUGCGCAAUGGGCGAAAGCCUGACGCAGCGACGCCGCGUGCGGGAUGAAGGCCUUCGGGUUGUAAACCGCUUUCAGCAGGGACGAAAUUGACGGUACCUGUAGAAGAAGCCCCGGCCAACUACGUGCCAGCCGCCGCUGUAAAAC